rnacentral:piRNA from 1 species
UCAAGGCCAUUGUGGACCUGACAGGGC